CAGUCGCCGCGGUAAUACGAGGGGGGCAAGCGUUGUUCGGAAUUAUUGGGCGUAAAGGGCGCGUAGGCGGUUUGGCAAGUUUGGUGUGAAAUCUUCGGGCUCAACUCGAAGUCUGCACCGAAAACUGCCGGGCUUGAGUAUGGGAGAGGUCAGUGGAAUUUCCGGUGUAGCGGUGAAAUGCGUAGAUAUCGGAAGGAACACCUGUGGCGAAAGCGGCUCACUGGACCAUUACUGACGCUGAGGCGCGAAAGCUAGGGGAGCAAACAGGAUUAGAUACCCCCGUAGUCCCUGUCUCUUAUAC
rnacentral:rRNA from 1 species